rnacentral:rRNA from 2 species
GCAUAUCAAUAAGCGGAGGAAAAGAAACUAACAAGGAUUCCCCUAGUAACGGCGAGUGAAGCGGGAUGAGCUCAAAUUUAAAAUCUGGCUGGUUUACUAGUCCGAAUUGUAGUUUAUAGAAGCGUUUUCGGUGGCAGCCUGGGUAUAAAUCCUUUGGAAUAGGGUAUCAUAGAGGGUGAGAAUCCCGUCUUUGACUCAGUGCAUGCUACUAUGUGAUACGUUUUCAAAGAGUCGAGUUGUUUGGGAAUGCAGCUCAAAAUGGGUGGUAAAUUUCAUCUAAAGCUAAAUAUUGGCGAGAGACCGAUAGCGAACAAGUACCGUGAGGGAAAGAUGAAAAGAACUUUGAAAAGAGAGUUAAACAGUGCGUGAAAUUGUUGAAAGGGAAACGUUUGACACCAGUUAUGCGGGUGGAAAAUCAGUCUUUUGCAAUGGGGAGUUGUGGGCGUUCAGACCGCAAGGCUGGCGUUUGCUUCAUCUUUGUUGUAAGUGAUGCACUUUUUCAUUUGCAGGUCAACAUCAGUUUGCUUUGCUGGACAAAACCCCAAGGGAAGGUGGCAGCUUAGGCUGUGUUAUAGCCCUGGGGCGAUACAGUGGAGUGGACUGAGGUUUCGCAGUGUGUGCUCUCGGGCAAGGCUGACUGGGUGCUAUGGGAUCGUUCGGCGUACAAUGCAUGCAUUUUGCGUCGUGUCUUUUUCAUACUCGCUCAACUCGGCUCUCCACA